CACAGUUGAAGCUAUGAGAGAAAUUCAGCAAUUCCCUCAUUGAACCCUCCACACAUCAGGCAAGAUAAAGUAACAACCAUGGACAUUUGUUGUGUGGACAUUUGUUGGGGUGUCUCUGAUAUCUCCUCCCAGCUUCUAACACUGAGGAUUUGAUUUUUCCCUUGGUGCAUUCAUUCCCCGCUCCCCACGAUUCUUAACUGACAGUUGGGGUGGGAUUAGCCACAGUCUUGUCUGUUAGAGAAGUCAGUAGUUACUUGUGAUGAUUGGUUCAGAGAUGAACAUGUGACCCAGUUUUGGCCAAUGGCAGAGGAUGAAUUCUAGGAUUUGUAGGGCACUGGCAAAGAGGCUCGUCUUCAUGAACAGUCUGCUGCCAUUGAAGCCACUCUGAGAUCUCAGGGUGACUUGUACCAGGUGCCAGAGACCACUAAGUGAAACUUGAAGAGAAUAUCGACAUGGAAGAGUGUGGAGUGCAAAGGAGGCAAAAUUUCUUUUUCUCAAGGGAGCACCAUAACCAUCUGAAUAUCUGGGCUCACAUUGUGUUUUCUUUGGCCUGUGGAAAUUUUGGCAAUGGCGUCUGGCUAAUAAAAAAGCAAAAAUAUGACAGAUUUAACUUCACCACAGAAACCCUCAUCUUUCUGUUGUUCCAAGUGGACUUGGUUGAUCGAAGUCAUUUCUGUUGCUUGCAACUAAAAAAUCCUCACUCAUUCACCUCACAAUAUGACUAAUACAAUUCCUGUGGAGAGGAAAUUAUAUGGACCAAUAUCCCACCCCAGAUGCUCAGCAGGUCCAGAAAUGGUCACUGUAUCUCAGGCUGGCUUGAUUUUGAGGGCUUGAAAGAUUUAAUAGCUACUCUUCAGAGAAUGCUUUCUUCGAAAUCUCUCAGAAAGUAACUCUUGCAAAGACAAAAAGCACAACAGUUGUGAUAUUGUUGAUGUGUAGAUUCAAAAUUUCCUCUAAUCCAGUCUUUCAGUGACAUCUCUAAUGGCUGAUUUUGCUUCUGAAUGUCUGGAAAAAUCAGAUCAUCAUCAUCUACCACAUUUGACCUUCAAGAUUGUGUUUUCCUGUUAAUUGAGCAUAAAGUCACAGUCUUCAUAUUUUUAUUCAAAAUGUUUCAAUGAAUUUGUUUCAUGUCCUUCAUAAUUUGGUCUUGAACUCUUUAUCAAAACCCUUUAACAUUCCAUUUCUAAACACAAAUUUGGAGAUUUUUGCUUGUUAUACACUGUGCCUCAUGAGACACUGACUUUUCUUGUCAUUUUGACACUGAUUUACCAGAAUGAACUUCGUGCAAGGUCACUCUUAUGAAAGAAUUGUUCUGAUUUGGCAGCAAAUGAUUUUCAUUUGAUUUGCUCAGUUUGGGGACCCAAUGUAUGCAUUUUAAAAAUGGUAGUAGCUUUGUCAUUAAUUACACCUUUGAUAAAGAAACAUGUAAAGAAUACAAUUGUUUGACAAUCUCAAAAAAAAAAAAAUGGUAAUAGCCAAUACUCUGCUGGCAAUUGGGUCUGGGCAUUUUCCUGAUGGGGACC